GCGAGAGUGGCGGAAUGGUAGACGCGCGGGUCUUAGAAGCCCGUGGGCACCCCCGUGGGGGUUCAAGUCCCCCCUCUCGCA
rnacentral:tRNA from 1 species